GGCCUGGUGGCCUAAUGGAGAUGGUCUCAGCUUCCAGAGCUGAGGAUUGUGGGUUCAAGUCCCACCUGGGUUG